GUGAGGAAUUUUCCGCAAUGGGCGAAAGCCUGACGGAGCAAUGCCGCGUGAAGGAUGAAGGCCUAUGGGUUGUAAACUUCUUUUCUCAGAAAAGAAUUAUGACGGUAUCUGAGGAAUAAGCAUCGGCUAACUCUGUGCCAGCAGCCGCGGUAAGACAGAGGAUGCAAGCGUUAUCCGGAAUGAUUGGGCGUAAAGCGUCUGUAGGUUGUUUAAAAAGUAUUCUGUCAAAGAUUAGGGCUUAACCCUAGAUAGGCAGAAUAAACUUUUAAGCUAGAGUUUGGUAGAGGCAGAGGGAAUUCCCGGUGGAGCGGUGAAAUGCGUAGAUAGCGGGAGGAACACCAAAGGCGAAGGCACUCUGCUGGGCCAAUACUAACACUGAGAGACGAAAGCGAGGGGAGCAAAUGGGAUUAGAUACCCUUGUAGUCC
rnacentral:rRNA from 1 species